CAGCAGUCGACAAUACACAGUGUGAUUACUCGAUGACAAUUUUAGACCGCAUCAGACCACUUCAAUCGAAUCAAAAUAUAAUCUCAACUCAAGCUUUAGACUCAAGCUCCCAUAAAACGCAUAAUAAGUUGUAUAGAACUUGAACUCUGACUCGCAUGAAAAGGCAUGUCUGCGGUGUGAAGUACGCAGUAGCACGGAAGACCUGGAAGUAAAGGAUCGCCGGUUUAAGUCAAGUUCCAGAUGAGUGCCAAGACCGUCCUACAAGCCAUCCUGCUUCGCCUUCAUAUGUUUUCCUUUACUCCAUCUGUCCUGUAACAUAACGUGGUUAGCCUGUCGAUAGUAGUAGCUCCUGAUGAAGCCUUAUUAUAUCAUAGGUCCCUUCGGUUCGGAGGGACGUUUUCACUGCACUAUCCGACUCGGGAGACUAUAAGCGUUUCGACAAUUUGUCAAUGGUGGGAACAUUGUAAUCAAAUUAGCGGGAUUGAUUUGCGGAACAGGCGCCAUAAGGCUGUGUAUCCAGAUAAGGGAUUUCUUCUUGUCAAGCCUGGGUGCUGUACAUUAUAACUUACCGUAAUUUAUCAGUUGCCUGGAGGAAAGGGCAAUGUGAUAUUCUAGUAUGAAUUCAACUGGAAAU